AAAAAGAGAAAAGAAAGAAAGAAAGAAAGAAAGAAAGAAAGAAAGAAAGAAAGAAAGAAAGAAAGAAAGAAAGAAAGAAAGAGGGAGGGAGGCAAGGAAGGAAGGAAGGAAGGAAGGAAGGAAGGAAGGAAGCAAGCAAGCAAGCAAGCAAGCAAGCAAACAAGCUUGGUUCUGCCAAGUUUGUCUACAUAAAAUCUACCUCCUUACAAAAAGAUAUGUGUGUAAAGAGGACACUACAUUGCCGUCAAACAGGGCCAGUCCCCUUGGGCUUUGUUCACUUUGUUCUAGAUUGAGAACACUCUGCUGUGGAAAUAUUUUUACCAGCACACUAUUCUUUCCCUACUCUUACCACAUCUUACCACCUCUUCCUCCUCUUCCUCCUUAGAAAUUCUGGUUUCCUAAUGCUGAGUGUACUAUUUAAUUUUUACUUUACAUUAUUUUUGAAUGAAUUGAAUGAGAGAAAUAAACACAAAAUCAGAACUUUGAAAAUGGCCUCAAAUUCCACCAAACAAAAGACAUACAUAGGCUGGACAAGGUGUCCCUAGAUAAGUAUCAGACAAGCAGCUUGGUUUUCAUGUGGUUUCUGAAAAAUUGGAACAGAGGAUUCCCCCAAGACCUAUUGCCUAAACAUAGGGUAUGUUCUUUUAGCUGGGCUGCCUUUUCAGGCCUCAGUGUGAUAGGAAGUACCUAGCCUUGCAGAGACUUGAAGUGCCAGUGUGGAGGAUACUCAGGGGGUCCUUCAUACAUUCAGAGGAGAAGGAUCUUGGGAGGGGUGACCAAGGAGGCAGUCAUCGGUUGUAAAGUGAGUAAGUAUAAAUCAAAAUUAAUUUUUAAAAACUGUUUUCAAAAAUUGAGAUAAAGUUGAGGACUCAUGUCUAAGCAGACCCUUGAUUGACUAUCACAAUAAUUUGGCUAAUAUGUCUAGCCCUAUGUUUAUUCUGUUCCAUGGACUUUUCACAGGAUUAUUCUGAGAUGUGCAUAGAUUCAGAACCUGAAAUAAUGAAUCAGAUAUGGAAACAAAACUGUUUCUGAAAAUUAGUUAAUUUUGUAAUUAAUUAUAAAGUACUUCAAAAGCAGUAGUGAGUGAGAUGGCAUCUGUGGUUGGCAAUAGACAUGCUGUGGUAAUUUAUUAUUAAAGACCUUUAAAAUUUUAAAACCCAAUUAAAAAAAAAGACCUUAUAAUUGAAGAGUAGAAAAAUGCUUCUUUAAAAAGUUGCACUAAAUUAAGCAACAUCACACACCCUCCAGGCAAAAGCUGAUCUCAGAGAAGAAUAAAUUAUCAGCCUAUUCUUUGUGUGCAUUUAAGAUCAUUAAGACGACUGCAUGAAUACUUCCUUAGGGAGUAGACAUCAUGUCAGCCUUCUAUUGAAGAAAUGAAAGAAUUGUUCAGGGGAAAUCUACAGAAACCAGGUUGAUCUUGGUGGGUAACAUUUUUUACAUAGUCUCAGCAGCCCCCCCCCCAAACAUUUUUUUAAAUACUAAAAUCUUUUAGAGGAUUGUUUUCUUAAGAACUCCAUCUCGAGUUUCAUGCGUUUAACAAAUUAUAUCUUAUAUCUUGGGUAUCCUAAGUUUUGGGCUAAUAUCCACUUAUCAGUGAGUACAUAUUGUGUGAGUUCCUUUGUGAUUGUGUUACCUCACUCAGGAUGAUGCCCUCCAGGUCCAUCCAUUUGCCUAGGAAUUUCAUAAAUUCAUUCCUUUUAAUAGCUCAGUAGGACUCCAUUGUGUAGAUGUACCACAUUUUCUGUAUCCAUUCCUCUGUUGAGGGGCAUCUGGGUUCUUUCCAGCUUCUGGCUAUUAUAAAUAAGGCUGCUAUGAACAUAGUGGAGCAUGUGUCCUUCUUACCGGUUAGAACAUCUUCUGGAUAUAUGCCCAGGAGAGUUAUUGCUGGAUCCUCUGGUACUACUAUGUCCAAUUUUCUGAGGAACCACCAAUCUGAUUUCCAGAGUGGUUGUACAAGCUUGCAAUCCCACAACAAUGAAGGAGUGUUCCUCUUUCUCCACAUCCUCGCCAGCAUCUUCUGUCACCUGAAUUUUUGAUCUUAGUUAUUCUGACUGGUGUGAGGUGGAAUCUCAGGGUUGUUUUGAGUUGCAUUUCCCUGAUGAUUAAAGAUGUUGAACAGUUUUUCAGGUGCUUCUCUGCCAUUCGGUGUUCCUCAGGUGAGAAUUCUUUGUUCAGUUCUGAGCCCCAUUUUUAAUGGGGUUAUUUGAUUUUCUGGGGUCCACCUUCUUGAGUUCUUUAUAUAUAUUGGAUAUUAGUCCCCUAUCUGAUUUAGGAUAGGUAAAGAUCUUUUCCCAAUCUGUUGGUGGUCUUUUUGUCUUAUUGGCGGUGUCUUUUGCCUUGCAGAAGCUUUGCAACUUUAUGAGGUCCCAUUUAUUGAUUCUCGAUCUUACAGCACAAGCCAUUGCUGUUCUAUUCAGGAAUUUUUCCCCUGUACCCAUAUCUUCGAGGCUUUUCCCUACUUUCUCCUCUGUAAGUUUCAGUGUCUCUGGUUUUAAGCACAUGAAACUCAAGAAGAACGAAGACCAAAGUGUGGAACUGUGCCUCUUCUUAGAAUUGGGGACAAAACACCCAUGGAAAGAGUUACAGAGAUAAAGUUUGGAGCUGUGAGGAAAGGAUGGACCAGCUAAAGACUGCCAUAUCCAGGGAUCCAUCCCAUAAUCAGCUCCCAAACGCUGACACCAUUGCAUACACUAGCAAGAUUUUGCUGAAAGGACCCAGAUAUAGCUGUCUCUUGUGAGACAAUGCCGGGGCCUAGCAAACACAGAAGUGGAUGAUCACAGUCACAUAUUCGAUGGAUCACAGGGCCCCCAAUGGAGGAGCUAGAGAAAGUACCAAAGGAGCUAAAGUGAUCUGCAACCCUAUAGGUGGAACAACAUUAUGAACUAACCAGUACCUCAGAGCUCUUGACUCUAGCUGCAUAUGUAUCAAAAGAUGGCCUAGUCGGCCAUCACUGGAAAGAGAGUCCCAUUGGACUUGCAAACUUUAUAUACCCCAGUACAGGGGAACGCCAGGGCCAAAAAGAGGGAGUAGGUGGGUAGGGGAGUGGGGGGGGAGUGUAUUCGGGACUUUUUGGAUAGUAUUGGAAAUGUAAAUUAGGAAAAUACCUAAUUUUAAAAAAGUGGGAAAAAAAAGACCUCCAUCACACAAAACACCAACAUCAGGAGAAUUAAAGAGACAGCAUAAAUUCUAAUGAUGUUAAAAAUAAGAUAUUAAUCAGAAACUUCAUAUGUAACUUUGACAACUUAAGUGAAGGAAACAAAUUCCUGAUUGAUUCCUGAAAAAAAAAAAAAAGACAAAGAGGAACAUGAGUUCAAAGCCAGGGUUCUACAUAUAAUGUGUUCAAGAUGCCUACAAUCCCAAUAUUACAGAAACAGAAAAUCAAAACAGUUGCAAGGUUCACAGCAGCUUAGACUAGGCAAGCAAGGCAGCAAGUGCUAUGUGGGAAGAACUCUCUCUAAUAGAAUAAACAAAGAACAAAUUAACAAAAGAAGGAAAGAAAGGAAGAGAGGAAGGAAGGAAGAAAAAAGAAAGGAAGAAAAAGAAAGGAAGAAAAAAGAAAGGAAGGAAGGACAGAAGG
rnacentral:lncRNA from 1 species